AUCCAGCUGACGAGUCCCAAAUAGGACCAAACGCUCGUCCUGGAU
rfam:Schistosoma rodhaini strain Burundi genome assembly, scaffold: SROB_scaffold0009763